rnacentral:lncRNA from 12 species
GUGGGAGGGUAGGAGAGCCAUAGAAAAUGUCUGCUUUUGCUUCUCAGUAUCUCUAGGACACAAAAUGGAUGUAAUCCUGGGCUAAGAGCCCCAGCCACAUGGGUUAUCUCCCUAGCCCGUCAUCUUCCGAGACCAGAGACGGUGACUCCCCCCAGCAGAGAGGGGGAAUGGGGAAGGGGAUCUUGUCAGGCUCAUGGCGUGUACCCUCCGUGGCAAACUGCUCUGAUGGGGAGGAGGAGUGGGGCCUGGUGUGGGAGCAGAUGUUGGAUGGUUCAUAACAACAAAUACUCGGCCUCCAGCCAUUGUAUCUGUCAAAGUUGUUAGUUGACGACAGUAGAUAUUAUAACUGUUUAAGAUAAAAAAGAAGGGGAUUUAUUGGAGAGAUAUGGGGAGGCCCCAAGUUUGAAUGUUGAAAACCAGACUUGGAAAGGAGGCAGAGACCUGGGGAGCCUGGGGUUCUGAGAUGUAGCUACAAAGUGGCCACCAUGCAGGGCCCGACUCAGCAGCUACAUGCAGGACCAUGGGGCUGGACACGGCCCCCAUCUUCACCAUACACAGAUCUAUCAGAAUGCUCUCAGCUGCUUGGCACAGCUCGCACACCCAGUCUCUGCUCGGAUUGGGGUUGGGAAGGGUGUCUAGCCCUCUUGCCUAAGUGCUCGUCUAGAUGCCAGAGGAGGCAGGUGUGAAUAGAGUGGGGGCGGGCAAGAUGCUAGACGGGGAAAUGUUCACCAUAAAUAUGUUUACAAUUUUCUUACAACGUGCUAUACUUCAAAGGAGAUGAGGCUUUCAGAGCAUCUGGGGUCUUCCCUUUGAGAGAGAGAACAGGCUUGGUUUAUGGAGCACUAUGGAUUAUACCCCUUCCACUUAAAUGGUCACUUUCCUUUCACUCAGAUUCAUCCCUCGUGAAGAUGGAGAAGACAAGUUCACGUCCUGGUUCUCAAGGCUUGUGAGUGGGCAUAGAUUUGCAAGAAAAAGCAAGUUAGGUGCUGUUUUAGGGGUGUGUGUGGAGAAGCCAGAGAAUACGCAGGAAGCUUGUGUCGACUUCGUGUUCAGCCUUCACUCUUCUCCUUGGGCCAAGGUGACUGAGCUCUGCCCAGACUUGCUGCAAUGCCCCACUCCCUCUGCUUAAUUCCUUGUAAAUAAAACAGAGCUCCCUCUUCCCUGCA